GACUGAGGUGGAGGGAGGGAAGCAACACUGCACAGAGGUACAAGGCCCAGGAUUCAGCCCUGGUUCCACCACUUACGGCUAGCUGCAAAUCUUUGGAAAAAAAGCUGCAUAAACUCCCUUUGCCUCAGUUUUCUCAUCUAUAAACUGUGCGUACUGGCAUCUAACCCAGAGUUGCAAUGACUCAGUGAGGUCAUUGCGGCAAGUUUAGCCCAGUUUUAGCCCUGCUGCAGGGAUGUGCUUCUUCAACACGAACUGCUGUCAGCCAUAACAUUAUCAGGGUCACGGGGAGGUGGCAAGGCUCAUUCUCUACCCUGAUUAGUGUGGACAGGAAGCCUUUAGUCUCAGACCCCAGCUUCCUGUCCUUCCAGGAAUGGUUUUGCUAAAGGACAAAGCCAGCCUGUUCCAGGGAGUAAGUCAGAAACAUUUUGUCCCUGCACUGCUGCCCAGGCUUGGCCUGGCUGUGAGCAGUUGGGGUCAGCUGGCAAAUAGGGUGUGAAGGGUGGAAAGGCCAGAGGGCACAGUAGUGCCACUUGGUUGGAUGCCAGUGGGAGGGGAUCAGGACUGGCCUGCCUGCGCUAACUUCAGCCAACUAGCUGUGGGCCAGUCAAGUUCCUUAGGCUCUUGUCCUCUUCACCUGGCUGGGCACAGUUAGGGCCUCUCAGGCUCUCCAGCCCGGAAGAGACCAUCUGGUUAUGACUGCUGCCUGGUGCCUGGGUCCCUUCUUGGGUUUCUGCUUGCACCCCUCCUGUGACAGGGAGCUCAUUACCUUCUGAGACAGCUCAGGAUGGCCUGGGAGCCUCUUGGGGGCACUAAAAUUCUUCCCCAUUGGAGUUGGGACCCUGGGGUCGGGGUGGGGCAAAGGAGGCAAGUCAGCAGGAGCCCCCACAGGUCUUCUGCCCAGGCAGCCCCCACAACCUCGCCCGAUUCCACGGCUUCACUUCUCCCUGCUCCUCUCACCCUCACCAGACUCCCUUGAGCUCCCUACCCCUACCCCUCUGCCUUACUCCCCCUGGACUCUGUCUAAUGCCUCCUCCCAUGAUCCCUCUUGCUGACAUCCCACCCUAGAAAGUCUCUCUGAUUCACUUCUUCCUGCUGAGGCCUGGCCCUCGCCCCUGCUUCUCCCUCAGUGCUCUCAGGCCCUCAAGCAGAGAAGCCGCUCCCGUGCUGUUGUUUUGCUUACAAUCAGCAACAUCUGUGAAACAUCUGGCUUCGCCUGUCCUCUCCCUGACCGGGCCAGGCAGGAGGGAAGGGGGUGCCCUGGGCCCCCUGCUGCUGGGGUGCCCCUCCCUUGGGUUGGAGGAGACAGUCGGGGAAGAGGAAGAGCUGUGGGGCUGAUCUGAGCCUGCUCAGCGCGCAUGGGAGUAGAGGCCUCGCUGGGGCUGGGGGAGGGCAGUGCCAGGUUGCAGAUAAAAAGUAACAGCUACAACCACAUACCAAGGGCGGCCCAUGCUUCACCUACAUCGGUCCUCACAACAGGCUUGGGAAGGUCCGAGUGUUGUUUUCACUUUACAAAUGAGAAAGUUAAGUUUCAGAGCAAGUGGACAAGUAUGCGGUGGCUGAGCAGGAACUGGGAUCCAUCCCUAACUCCCAGGGAGCCUCAUCUCCAGCCAGUCUGAGGAUUUAGUGGCUUGGAUUCGGGGCUUCUCCUUGGCUUGAGGGCAGAACUUUUCUAAGGAAGGCCAAUAAGUAGCGUGAACUUAAAGUGUGUGGGGAUAUCUGGUCCCGAGCUGACUCAGUUCUCAGUAGAGCUGUGUGAGAAGUUGUUUACCCCUGUACGCCUCAGUCAUCCCAUCUAUAAAAUGGGUAUAAUAAUCCCACCUCAUGGGACUUCUGUGGACUCAGUGAGAUAAUAUGUGUAAACCCUGAGCACAGUGUCGGCCACAGAGGGCUCCCUGCAACUGCCCCCCACUGUAGGGGCUGAGAGAGAGAGGCCUGGGGCUGCGACUGAGGAAGCCAAGAGGUGAGGUCAGGCCACGCCCCAGCCAGCUGUGCAGGAGGACGCAGCCCCCGCAUCUAUGCCACAGCCAGUUUCCAACUGGAGGGCCGGUGACUCAAGGCCAGGGACGGGGCACCUAGGGAAUGGGGUUGGGCCCCAGGCCCCAGUGGAUUCAGCAGGGUCCUACCUGCCGUUUCAGGGGCAACGGAAUAGCAUGUAUCCUGUCAGGCAGCUGUUCUGCCCCCAGCUCUGUCCCAAACCCACGUGUGGCCUUGGAUGAGGCCCCUCCCCUCUCCUGUUGUUUUCUUCUGGAAAAGAAGGAGAAGCAAACUUUUCCUCCUGUCUGAGGAUAUUCUGAAGGGGCAGAUGGCACUUUGUGUGAUGCGAGGGGCUGGGAUUCAAGCCAAGUGUGUCUCUGAAUGUGGAGAGAGUGUGUGUGUUAGUGUGUGUACACAUGAGUCGUCAGGAUUCUAAAAACAGGGUUAACCAUUUCCCCAGAGGACUGAGGACUGGGGGGGCAGACUUGGAAGGAGCUGUGUGUUUACCACCGGCCCGAGUCUUCAGGGUUCACGUGCCCUCGGGACACUGCCCUCCAGCCCUCUGUCAGGCUGGGCUGAGGAAAGGUCUGCUGGUAAUUUAUGCUCCUCCCCUGAGGUACAGUCCACCCCUACCCUGCCUCUGCGACACACACUGAGCCCAGGCCAGAGUCCUGCCUCCCAGGGGGGCGAGCUCAGGUCAUAACCCCCACCCCGGGGAAAACUAUCACAUAUAAAGGGAAUGAAGGAAAGCUAAGUUCUCUCUAGGAGCCAUCCGACUCUGACACCUCAGGCUGUGUUCACUUCCCCCGCUGAACUGUUCUCACAAGGGGCACACGCUCCAUCCCUGGAGCCUGGACAUUGCAAGGCAGUGGAGAGUGGUGGCUAGGAGGCUGACAGACCUGGUUUGUGUCCAGGCUCAGAUGCCUAUUCACUGCAUGACCUUGGGCAAGUCACUUAACCUCUCUGGUGUCCUCAUUUAUAAAGAGGGGGUUAUAAUAGUUCCCACUAAUAGGGUAGUUGAGAAGGAUGAUGACCACCGCUGAGCUCUCUGCAUACAGCCCUUCUGGUCUGUCUGGCUUCAGGUCCUUGUAUGCACCACCCUCCCUUCUACCUCAGGGCCUUUGCGCGUGUACUUCGCUCUGCAUAGAACACUCUUUCCCUCUUUUAUUAGUUGUUACUGCUAAUAACAAAAAUAAUACCUAACAUUUAUUGAACACUUAAUAUUUGCCAGGCACUGUGCUAAGUGUUUAACUGACACUUUCUUAUUUUAUGCUCACAAAACCCCCAUGAGUUAAGAGCUGGUGUUAUUACCCACUAUAGUGCAGUGUCCUGAGGACAUAUUCCAGAGCCAGAUUACUUGGGGGUAGCUCCCAGCUCUUCCAGUUAGUUGUGUGAUCUGGGGCAAGUUGCUUCACUUUCUGGGCCUCAGCUUCCCCAUCUGUCCAUGGGGAAAGGAAUAGUACUAGUACCAUAGGGUAGCUAUCAUGAGAGCUAAAAGUGCUUAGAACAAUGCCUGGCACAUUGUAAAGGCUACAUAAAUUUUUUAUUAAAUAAAACCCUAUUUCUCAAACAAGAAGACAGAGGCACAGAGAGGUUGUUAGUGCCUUGCUCAAAGUCACAGGGCAACAGGAGAGAGAUGGGUUUUGAACGCAGGCUGGCUGGGUCCAGAGCCCAAGCUCUUAAGCACAAAGCUAUAUUCUUAUCCCUCCUCCUCCGGAGCUUGGAUUAGAUGUCAAUUCCUCAGAGAAGCCUUCCUUAAUAGCCUUGUCUGGAAGAGGACCCCGCUGUCUGCUCACAAAGUAUCUUGUGACUUUUUCUCAUGGCACUUGUCAUAGAUGGUGAUUACUUAUACAUAUGUGAUCAUUUCUUUCCCUCUCAACUAUCAAGCCCUUGAGGGUAAGGACCACAUCUGUCUUUCUCCUUUUGUUUCCCCAGCAUUAUUACUUUGCCUGACACAUAGUAAUUGCUUAAUAAAUACUUAUUUAGUGGCUAGAAGCCUCAUAGUAGUCCUCAGCAUGGUUAGUAGUUGCACAGGAUAAGCUCAUGGAGAAAGGUAGCCUGGAAAAGAAGCCAUUGUGUAAGUAAAGACUGAGUUCUCUUGUGAGUGACAGAAAAGAUAGAAUAAGAACCUCUCUCAAAUAAAGGAAAUUAAUAUAUAAGCAGCUCAGGGAUGGUAUGGCAUCUCCAUGAUCAUCAGAAACCCUAAUUCCUUCUAUUUUGUUUUCCUUUUGCCAUCCUCAAAUUUUAACUUUUACUCCAUGUCCAAGAUGGCUGCUUGAGCUCCAGUCAUCACUUCUGCAUUCCAAUUGGUGGGAAGCAUGAAGAGUCAGAUAGAAUCAACUGAUCCAGGAGGAGCUGGGCUGGACUUGACUCUUCAUUGUGUUCAUCAUGGGCUGUGCUCAGAUCUGCUCCAUGUAUCCCUCUCCAGGGACAGAAGAGUCAGCAUCUACCUGGGGAGCAUCCUCACUGAAAUAAAAGCUGCUUUUGUUUCUGUUUUUCAAUUUUUAAUUUUGAAAUAAUUAUAUAUUCACAGGAAAUUGUGCAAAGAUAGUACAGAGAGGUCCCAUGUGCCUUUCACCUAGUUUCUCCCAAUAAUUACAUCUUACUUAAUUAUAGUACAACAUCAAAACCAGAAUCUGACAUUGGUACUAUGCGUGUGGAUAGUUCUAUGUCAUUUUAUCACAUGUGUAGAUUAUGUAACCACUACCGCAGUCCAGAUACAGAACUAUUUCACCACAAAGAUCUCCCUUGCUAUCCCAUUAUAGUCACACUCACCCCCCACCUCCACCAUCCCAAACUCCUGGCAACCACUAAUCUGCUCUCCAUCUCUAUAAUUUUGUCAUUUUAAGAAUGUUAUAAAAAUGGAAUCACACAGUAUGUGACCUUUUUAGAUUGUCUUUUCCACUCAUCAUAAUACCCUUGAGAUCCACACAAGCUGUUGUGUAUGUCAAUAGUUCAACCCUGUUGAUUACUGACUAGAGUUCUUUGUUAUGGAUACACAGUAGUUUGCAUAACCAUUCACUUAUUGAGGGACAUUUUGGUUAUUCCCAGUUUUGGGCUAUUAUGUAUAAAGCUGCUAUGAACAAUUGUGUACAGAGUUUUAUGUGGACACAAGUUGUCAUUUCUCUGGGAUGAAUGUCCAGGAGUACCAUUGCUGGGUCAUAUGGUAAGAAUAGAUUUAAUUUUUAAGAAGCUGCCAGACUAUCUUCCAGAGUAGCUGACUAUGAGAGACCCAGUUUCCCUGCAUCCUUGCCAACAUUUAGUGUUGCCCCUAUGUUUUAUUUCAGCUGUUCCAAUAGAUAUGUGAUGAUAUCUCAUCCAGGUCUUAAUCUGAAUUAACCUAAUGGCUAGUGAUACUGGAGAUCUCUCUAUGUACUUAUUGCCAUCUGUAUAUCCUUUGGUGAAACUGUCUCUUCCUGCCUUUUGCCUGUUUUCUAAUCAGAGUGUUUGCUUUUUUUUACUGUUGAGUUUUGAGAGCACUUGGUAUGUUCUACGUAUGAAUCCUUUGUCAGAGAUGCGAUUUACAAAUGAUUCCUCUCUGUGUGUAGCUUGUCUUUUCAUCCCCCUAAUAGUAGCUUUUUCAAAGCAAAAAUUUUGAAUUUUGACUGAGUCCAAAUCACCAUUUUUUUUCUUUCGUGGAUCAUGCUUUUGGUGUUACGUCUAGAAACUUUUCACCAAGCCCUUGGUUCUGAAGAUUUUCUCUUACAUUUUCUUCUAAAAGUUUUGUAGUUUUACAUUUUAAGUCUAUGAUCCAUUUUGAGUUAGUUCUUGUAUAAAAUAUGAGAUUCAGGUUGAGGUUUAUCUUUUGCAUAAGAACAUCCAAUUGCUCCAACAGCAUUUGUUGAAAAGAAUAUCCUUCAUCCACUGAUUUUUUUUAAAUAACAGCUUUACUGCAGUGUAACCACAGAUACAAUUCACCUAAGUAAAAUAUACAAUGCAAUGGUUUUUAGCAUAUUCGCAGAGUUGUACAACCAUCACUAUAAUUCAUUUUAGAACAUUUUCAUCAUCCCCUAAAAAGACUCCAAACCUGUUAAGAGUCACUCCUUUCCUCACACCCCCUCCCACUCAGCCCUGGACAGCCACGAAUCUACUUUCUUUUUCUACAGAUUUGCCUAUUCUGGACAUUUCAUAUAAAUGGAACCAAACAAUAUGUGCUCUUUUCCUUCUGCUUCUUUCACUUAGCAUAACGUUUUCAAGUUCAUUGUGUUGUAGCAAGUUCAUUUCUUUUUAUUGCCUGAUAAUAUUUCAUUGUAUAUGUCACAUUCCAAAUACCACAUUCCAUACUGCACUUUAUUUAUCCAUUCAUCAGUUGAUGGACUGGGAUUGUUUCCACAUUUGGGGUUGUUUCCACAUUUGGGCUAUUAUGAAUAAUGUUGCUAUGAACAUUCAUGUACAAGUUUUUAUGUGGACAUAUGUUUUCAGUUCUCUUGGGUAUAGACCUUGGUGUGAAAUAGAGUCAUCCAUUCUUAUGUUUAACUUUUGGAGGAAGUGCCAAACCGUACCAUUUUAUAUUCCUACCAGCAGUGUGUGAAGAUUCCAAUCAUUCCACAUCUUCAACACUUGUAAUUUUUUUCUUAUAGCCAUCCUAUCAUUGAAUUCCUUUUGCAUCUUUGUCAAAAACCAGUUGGCCAUACUCGAGUGGGUCUUUUCUAGAUUCUCAAUUCUGUUUCACUGAUCUAUAUUUCCUAUCCCUCCACCUGUGUAGAUUUAACUCUUCCCACUUUAUUCUCUUUUUUCAAAGUUGUAUUUGGUUAUUCCAGUUCCUUUAUCUUUCUGUACAAAUUUUAGGAUAAUCUUGCCUAGUCUACAAAAAGUCUUCCUGAGAUCUGGAUAAUAAUUGUGUUAAAUCUGUAUUUCAGAAUGUGGAGAACUGGUAAUUUUAUUAUGCUCAAUAUUCCAAUCCAUGAACGUGGUAUGUCUCUCCAUUUAUUUAGAUCUUCUUUGAUGUCUUUCAUCAGUAUUUUGUAGUUUCCAGUACAAAUCCCAUACAUGUUUUGUUAGAGUUACACCCAUGUAUUUCAUUCUUUUUUUGGUGAUUGUAAAUGAUUCUGUAUUUCAGUUUCCACAUGUUCAUUGACAGCACAUAGAAAUAUUGUGGAUUUUUGUACAUUGAUCUUGUAGUUUGUGACUUUGAUGAACCUGCUUAAUAGUUCUAGGAGGUUUUUUUGUUGUUGAUUCCUUGAAUUUUUCUACAUAAACAACUAUGUCAUCUGCAAACAGGGACAGUUUUAUAUUUUCCUUUCUGAUCUGUAUACUAUUUAUUUUCCUUUCUUGCCUUAUUGGGGCUUCAGUCUUUCACCAAUAAAAAUGAUAUCAGCUAUAGGGUUUUUGUAGGUUUUAUUUAUUUAUUUAGGAAGAUCUUUUAUUUCUAUAUCAUGUUUAUUUAUAUGUACAUCUAUGUUUAUAUAGGAAGUUUAUUUAUAUAGGAAAUUGCCCUCUGUUCUUAAUUUUUGAGAAUUUUUAUCAUUGAUAACAAUUUUUAUUUUUAUUAAUUUAAAAAAGUCCAUUGAUAGGAUCAUGUGACUUUUCUUCUUUAACCUGUGAAUAAGGUGGGUUACAUUGGUUGAUUCUCAAGUAUUGAAUCAGCUUCACAUCCCUGGAGUAAAUUUCAUUUGGUAAUGGUGUAUAAUUUUUAGACUAUGUUGCUGACUUCUAUUUGCUAAUAUUUUGUUAAGGAAUUUCGCAUCAUAUACCUGAGGGAUAUUGGUGUAUAGUUUCUUUGUACUCUCUUUGUUUUGGUUUGGGUAUCAAGGUAAUACAGCUUCUUAAAAUGA